rnacentral:lncRNA from 1 species
UCAUGAGUAGACUCCAACAUACCUUCAGGCAGGAAAUGACCGGAGUUGGAGCCAGCCUAGAGAAGAGAUGGAAAUUCUGUGGUUUUGAAGGCUUGAAGCUGACCUGAAGCUCUUUGACUAAUAAUUUGGGAUCCUGGAAAAAAAUGCGUGCUGGACAAGCUUAGGAUGUGAUUUUUUUUUUUAUUCUCAGUGGUUUUCAAGAGGACAUUGCUUUCAAUUUGUCAAUUCAUUCCUGAAUAUCUUUCAACUUAAAAUAAGGAUCCUAGAACAGCAUCUCAAGCUACAGGUCCUAAAAGAUAUUGCCUCAAACCACAAGUGCUGUAACUUCCUCCUAUUUCUGGCAAUUGGUUGACUUCUCUUAAGUAAUAGUGAAAAAUUCCUGAGACUAAAGAGUAUUUGGCGUGUGUUCAGUGUUGUACUACUGUUGUAGACCUUGUACUUUGUCAGCGCUGUUAACUGCAAUGUUUUGAUGAUCUGUAAGUGCUUUGUGUUUCCAGAUUUCUCUCCACAUGUUGCUACUGGUAAAAGGAGUGAGAGCAUUGCUAGGACCCCCUAUAACUGCCAUUGUCUUCUCCAUCUGCAGUAAACACUAACUGAAUAAUCCAUCAGUGUCUUCUAUAAGGUGCUUCACCAGUUCACCUUUGAAAUAAAAAAGCAUGAACUGUGGCUUUUUGUAAAAAUACUGUGAACCAAAAGUUGACAAACGUUCCAAAGUUAUUUUCUCUAAUAGAUAAAAGGUCUAUCUCAGAAUUUUAAAACAAGAAAUCUAGAUGGACUCAUGGAAAGUCUCCAGUAUAACUACCGUGUCUGUGCUUUUCAGAAUUACUUGUAAAUAGUCUGCUUUUAAAAGAGGGCAUGUUUAGUUUUCUAUGAAUUAAAAUGCAGUCAGGCGUGGGCACAUGUGUGCUCACAUUGGCAGAAGGGAUUUAUUUUAAUAGUCCUUCCUACUGUCUGUUGGUCCAUUUUUUCCUGCUGUUAGUGUGUUGAAUUACAAACUGUGUACUGCUGUAAAUGCUGUUUACUUUGUGCUGGAUGUUUGUAAACAACUGAUGUGAGUAUUGAAAGUAAAGAACUAAUGAAUAAA